rnacentral:piRNA from 1 species
UGGAGUCAGAUGCAGUAGAGCCCCCUCC